AUUGAACGCUGGCGGCAUGCUUUACACAUGCAAGUCGAACGGUAACAGGCCUUCGGGUGCUGACGAGUGGCGAACGGGUGAGUAAUGCAUCGGAACGUACCCAGAGGUGGGGGAUAACGCAGCGAAAGCUGUGCUAAUACCGCAUGUGAUCUGAGGAUGAAAGCGGGGGACCGAGCAGCAAUGUUUGGCCUCGCGCCUUUGGAGCGGCCGAUGUCGGAUUAGCUAGUUGGUGGGGUAAAGGCCUACCAAGGCGACGAUCCGUAGCUGGUCUGAGAGGACGACCAGCGACACGGGGACUGGGACACGGCCCAGACUCCUGAGGGAGGCAGCAGUCGGGAAUUUGAGACAAUGGGGGCAAGCCUGAUCCAGCAAUGCCGCGUGCGGGAAGAAGGCCUUCGGGUUGUAAACCGCUUUUGGCAGGAACGAAACGGUGUCCGCUAAUACCGGGCGCUAAUGACGGUACCUGCAGAAUAAGCACCGGCUAACUACGUG
rnacentral:rRNA from 1 species